UACGUAGGGGGCAAGCGUUAUCCGGAUUUACUGGGUGUAAAGGGAGCGUAGACGGUGAUGCAAGUCAGAAGUGAAAGCCCGCGGCUCAACUGCGGGACUGCUUUUGAAACUGUAUAACUAGAGUGCAGGAGAGGUAAGCGGAAUUCCUAGUGUAGCGGUGAAAUGCGUAGAUAUUAGGAGGAACACCAGUGGCGAAGGCGGCUUACUGGACUGUAACUGACGUUGAGGCUCGAAAGCGUGGGGAGCAAACAGG
rnacentral:rRNA from 1 species